rnacentral:lncRNA from 1 species
AGAACUCAUAAGAAGCUGUCAAUUAGCAGAACUUCAGGAGAAGACCCUGGGGCCAUGUGUCUGAGGGGCAGCCUGCGUGUGUUGGGAGGGCAUGUGCUACCCAUCGUGUGAUGAGAGAAGUGAAGAAGAUUGGAAAAAGUUUCAUAUUCAAAAUAGAACAACAUGAUGGAGUAGGGAAAAGAGCACAGCUUUUGGAAUGUGAUGACCCAGUUCUGAUACUUAGUAUAAACAACCUUGAGCAGGUAUGUCACUUAACCUUUCUGAACCUGUUUCCUCAUUUGUAAAAUGAGGGUGAUCAUAUUCUUUCCUGUCUACCUUUGGCUAGCACAUGAUAUAAUGUGCAACCUUUAACAUCAUGUAUGGAUAUGUUACCCCUGCUGCUGCUACUAUUACUGUCAUUACUGUCGCUGUUACUACGAACGUUACACUGCUGCUGUUACUGCAACUAAUACUAUGCACCAACUAGUACUACUUGGGUGUUAAUGUGACUAGGGAGAAUAAGCACUGGUUCUCCUUCAUUCCUCAUGGCCUUUUCUGGAAAUACAGCUUUGCUUCUGAGGCAGGGAGAGUACUGAACAGCAGUUUGGAAGACCAUUUUCUAGUCUUCUCUUUGCCACUCACCCUGUGUGGCAAAAUCAAGAAGGUUUCUCGAUUCUCCUAUGUGUAGAAUGAGGGACGUUAUGCUACCC